UCAUUAACUGGGUACUCUACCCUAACUUGAAUAAAAUUGCCCAAAUCCUCCCAUUCUUGUGAGUAUAGACCUCCACUACCUUGCCUAACUUCUUCCCCAACUUCCACCCUAUUUUCUCGGUCAUCAUCGUGCCGGGAAUAUCAUGGAUCCUCACCCAUGGAGGAAUAGUAUCAAGUUUUACAUCAAUGGGCAAAGCUACUCCAUCACAGCCUGCAACUAAAAAAGCGUCCCCGCGGUGAGUCCAAGGACCAUUGUUCAAGACAAAGCGAAGAUAACCUUCUCUUUCGAACUCAAGGAGGAAGUGGUUGUGGCAGAGUUGUUUGUAGUCGACCUUCCCCUAGAGCCUCCACUUGUUCUUCAGCUCAUUGAGCAAGCCCUCGGUGUUGUAUGGAAGGACCGACGCAAAGCACCCCACUGCCGUCCAGCGCAUCUUCAUCGCCAGGUUGGCCUGGGUGAGAUCUAGGACCACGACAUCGUCGGCCGAUGGGUAUGGCACAACCAUCUCCACCCCAUCCUCACCGGUCUUGAUCCAUGUGGUGAGCUUAGGCCACUCAUGCACUAACCUGGUGCCCAGACCUUCCGUCCCACGCCAGCCAUUGAGUGUGUGAUGCAAGGGUCUGAUUGUAGAUGUUUUUUGUGAACGACUGGUACCUGCUCUGGCCUAUUCAUAGGUGAGCCUCGUUCCCCUGAUGUCUCACCGCCAUGGCUGAAUGAUGACAGGGAUUGAUACUCCACCUUAUUGGGUGAUUUCCUUCACAAAGACUUUUCCGACGAGGAUUAAAGAUGUGAUAGGUCGUUGUUCUGCACUCACUUUGUCGUGGAGUUGGAUGGACUCAUUUACCUUCGAUGCUUCCGCAGUU